GACGAACGCUGGCGGCGUGCUUAACACAUGCAAGUCGAACGGAAAGGCCCUGCUUUUGUGGGGUGCUCGAGUGGCGAACGGGUGAGUAACACGUGAGUAACCUGCCCUUGACUUUGGGAUAACUUCAGGAAACUGGGGCUAAUACCGGAUAGGAGCUCCUGCUGCAUGGUGGGGGUUGGAAAGUUUCGGCGGUUGGGGAUGGACUCGGGGCUUAUCAGCUUGUUGGUGGGGUAGUGGCUUACCAAGGCUUUGACGGGUAGGCGGCCUGAGAGGGUGAGCGGACAGAGGGGGAAUGAGACACGGGGCAGAAUCGUAGGGGAGGAAGCAGUAGGGAAUGUUGGGAAAUGGGGGAAAGCAUGACGGAGUAAGGCCGGGUGAGUGAUGACGGCGUUCGGGGUGUAAAGCUAUGGUGUAAGGGAAGAAAGGUAGAGAGAGAAUAUGUAAAUGACGGUACUGUAAAAGAAAGCAACGGCUAACUACGUG
rnacentral:rRNA from 1 species